UCAAGGAAAGGUCAACCUGUUCACAGAAACAAAUAUCUCUUUAGCAGAUAUCCGGCAGUGGCUAGAUGGGUGCAGUAUGCGAAGCAAAUAGCAGCCCACAAGGAACGGCUGAACAUUCAGCUCUCCGUGUUUAUGCCAGCUUUCUAAAAUUGCCAAACAAGGAAUUUCCAGCCCUAAAUAUAAAUAUAAUAUAAGGAAGAAUGGAUGGAUUGCAGGGAAUGCAGAAAAGUCGAAGAUGGCGGCUGCAUAGAGAGCACUCAAGACACAUUGAAGAGGAAAUGAGCAACUGAAAGGCUUUCUAUUGUCUUCUAUGAAAUGAAUGACCCGCCCUUUCCCUUUAGGAUACAGUGCCAUUCUGACGACAGCACAAGGCCUAGAGAGCAGAGAGGCCUUUCUCUGUUUUUUACAAAAUGACUGGAAGCAGGAUCUGGGGAACUGAGUGAGCCAUGGUGUGAGCACCGCUAUGCCAACUGC